GCUGGGCAUGGUGGUGCAUGCCUGUAAUCCCAGCGACUAGAGAGGUUGAGGCAGGAGGAUUACAAGUUCAGAGCUAGCCUCAGCAUCUCAGUGAGGCCCUUAGUAACUUAGCAAAAUCCUGUCUCAA
rnacentral:sRNA from 1 species